GGGCCCGCACAAGCGGUGGAGCAUGUGGUUUAAUUCGAAGCAACGCGAAGAACCUUACCAGGCCUUGACAUCAUCUAGAAGGCUGUGGAAACACAGUCGUCCUUUGGACUGGAUGACAGGUGGUGCAUGGUCGUCGUCAGCUCGUGUCGUGAGAUGUUGGGUUAAGUCCCGCAACGAGCGCAACCCUUGCCCUUAGUUGCCAGCACCAUGGGUGGGCACUCUAAGGGGACUGCCGGUGACAAAUCGGAGGAAGGUGGGGAUGACGUCAGAUCAUCAUGCCCCUUAUGGCCUGGGCUACACACGUGCUACAAUGGGUGGUACAGAGGGCAGCGAAGGGGUGACCCGGAGCGAAUCCCAGAAAGCCACUCUCAGUUCGGAUUGCAGGCUGCAACUCGCCUGCAUGAAGUCGGAAUCGCUAGUAAUCGCAGGUCAGCAUACUGCGGUGAAUACGUUCCCGGGCCUU
rnacentral:rRNA from 1 species